CCUCGUAGCAGUGUUCUGGAAACCUAUGUGAUGGACAAACUUUCAGACCCUCACAGCAGUGUUCUGGAAUCCUAUGUGAGGGA
rnacentral:pre_miRNA from 1 species